AUGUUACCACACAGAUAUUCACCCUAGACGGGUACUACAGAUCGGCACAAGGCCCCAAACAUGGCAAUAAGCCCAGAUAUAUUCACUACAUGGUGUGUAUCAGCCGCCAAUAAAUUAUAUUUAGCACUCGGGAUCGACCAAGUCACAGUCCCCAAUCAUUUACAAUCCCGCAGCUACCAUGGGGUGCGAUUCACGCCCUAACAUAACCUCACGAUAUGAUAAACCAGGUUCAAACCCUCAGGCCAUCAUCUAUACAAACUACUCGCCUCUAACCGGUCGUAGACUGGUCUGCGAUGCCUUUUCCCUUUGAACCUCCGUCUACGCGCGUCGAAUCUAGUCAAAACCAUAAUGAAUAUGUUAUUAUAGGCUAAAUAAAGAUAACCCAACUGAAAUUAUUCGAAAAAUGCUAAGAAUUAUGAAGUUGGUAUAACCCAAGCCCACUUCUCGAAAAAUUCUUAAAAUCACAUUACCGGAUUCCUCAUCUCACCACGAGUCCGUACAUAUAAAGUUUGUUGAAAAUGGAGCUCGAAUGCCCUCUUCAAAUUUCAUUUUUACAUCACAAAUUCUCAAGCCCUAACUUAACCCAUUUUGAUGAUUUUCCACUGAUUUCUAUGAUAAAAUUAUCAUAAACUCAAAUGAUUAGGCUAGGAAACUUACCUCCAAUUUAUUCUCGGUAAAUUUCCUCAAAAAUCCUAGUCUAAAGCUCGUGAGAUAUAAUAUAAAACCCUUCUGUUCCGUUAUUUUUCAAUCCUAAGCGAUCGGGUAUCUAGCCACUGUCGGCUGGAAUAGACCUCGACGGAUAGACUCAAUGCUCAGAAAUUUUGACGGAAAAACUGCUACCUCGACCGGUCACAACAAACCAACGCAACGAUGAUAACACUCAAGCAAAAUGGGUCGACGAUUAACAAACGCAGGCCAACGACGUUAACAAACGCUGGUCGACGACGUGACUGUUGUUCGUUGGGGUGGUUGAUGACGCAGCGCUGCUGCCGCUGGUUCGACGACUGGAGGGGCUGUUCUGUUCGCUGACUGGAGAUGGAGGUAGCCUGGUCGUUUGGCGACGUGCUGGCUGCUGUGAGGAAGAUGAAGACAACAGCUGCUGCUGCAGUUAUGGAGGAGUAUGUGAGGAGCUAGUCGCCGAUGGCUGGGGUUGACUGGUCUACGAUGAAGGAGCAAAAAAAUGGCGGGCAACAGGUAGUGGAUGUUAGGUGGUCGAUGGGUGGCUGGAGGAGGGGUUAUAAGUUUUGUUUUUUUCUCUUUAGGUUUUAUGUUAAUUUGUUUAGGUUUAUGAAUAAGAAGAAGAGAGGUCUGCCCUCCUUAGGUGUAGUCAAAGCAUGUGUAAUGCCUCAGAUUUUUCAUCCGUGUGUUUGACAAAACUGUCAUCCAAGUCCCUAAGGUGUAAGUUCUAAGUGUGUAAAAUCUGAA
rnacentral:lncRNA from 1 species